AGGCCUCCCCGCAGCUGCCAGCCCGGUCGAGGCCCCGGCGGCGGCUCCGCCCGCACCGGAAGGGCAGCGGAGCCGCCCCGGCCGAGGGGAGGGGACAGCGGGGCGGGCGGGCGGCUCUUCGCGGCGCUCCCCCCACGGCGGUACCUGCGCUGGAAGUCGGUCCGGAAGGGCGUCAGGUCCUGAGCUUGGCAGUCUUCCUGAUGCAGAUGAGAGAGGGGGCUUGCUUUAGGACAAGUCUUCAGCCCCUGAGGUCUUCAUGAGAAGAACAGUGAUGUUGCUGUUGCAGGAUUAAAAUUCCUCAGUCUGGGCUGCACACAGUUAAAAUACUGAACAACUCUUAAAAUCCAUGGUUUCUCUUUUGCUCCCUGACCUAUGGAGUCCUUCAGCUCUCUCCUCAGUAACUCCUGUGUUGUCAUCUGAUUCAACACGUGUACAAGGAAAACUGAAAGAAUGAGCUGAGUCAUUCUCUAAAUCGGGACCAUCCUCCUCUGAACACAAAACCUUCCUCUGCAGCACU